rnacentral:rRNA from 1 species
CUCACUUCCCCCCACUCACGAACCCUAGCUUCUUUGUGCCGCCGCCGCCGCUCGGUCUAGAUUUGGAGCUGACGUGCUCGCCUCGCCUCAGUUGGUUCCGGAUUUGGCCACAUGCGCGCGUCCGUCGUCCGUCGUUUGCUCGGUCGUCGCCAUGGGAAAGGGAGGUGGAUAGGGUUUGGUGCGAGGGUUUGUUCCUUCUUCGGAUUUGGCCGUGCUUGGUCCUGUUUUUUUGUUUCAGAUGCGGAUCUGAACCAUCCACAUAUGCGUUUAUUUUUGUUGAUUCUUUAACUGUUCGCUGUUGUCGUUGCAUGGUUGUCUGGUUUGGGUAUGUAAGAUUACAAUCAAACUGAACUAUGACAAUUUAUACAUCAUAGUUAGGUAUCAAAGUGAUUAUGUAUUCACGUGAAGACUAUGCAAGCCGAAUGGAUGUAUAGUCGUUACAUAUGUUCAGGUUUAGGAGAUUUACCAUGACAGCUUGUGACAGAUGCAAAUCAUGGAUGCUAGCAAGUGUGAUUGGAUGACGGUUGUGAGGUUCGUCGCUGCAGUUGUUGUGGUGUCUCUAGCUGUUAUUCAUUCCCAUUGAAACGUUUCGCCUAGCUCUCAGUGCUUUUAUACUGUUGAGCACCAGAAGCGGGGACUACCUCACGCUCACAUACUCAUCUGGCGGAAGGGAGAACAAGAUGGCGAUCGUUGCUUUAGAUGAGCUUGUCCAAGGAAAUAGCAAUGAUUCAGUCUAUGUGUAUGUCUCGCGACUAUGGAACCAUCGUGGAGGCACUGACACUGGUCCGAUCAAGCACACUGACAUGGUUCUUAUGGAUGCCGUGGGCAACCACAUGUAUGCUGAGAUUUCUGAGAAACUGGUUCCUACAUUUGCGUCAAGGAUUCGUGAAGGCUGCGCUUAUGUGAUUUCUCAGUUCUUGGUGUUUCCAAACAAACACUAUUUCAAGCCUGUCGCUGGACCACAUAUGAUCAGAUUCAACCGUUUUACCACAACCGACCCUCCAGCUAAUGAAGAGAUUGAAUUCCCAUUCUGUACUUACUCGCUCACCGCUUUGGCUCAUCUUCCUGCGCCGGUUGAGACCCCUGACUAUUUCACAGACAUCCUAGGACUUAUUGUCGGUGUGUCUGAUGCCAUGGUAUACCACAUCUCUAACAGAGCUGAGCCUUAUGUAAAGCGAACUAUCACUCUUGCUGACCUGAGUGGAUAUCAGAUCAAUGUCGUACUGUGGGGAGAGCAGGCAAAGGCCUUUGAUGGAGAUGAUGUCAUGCAGAUAGGCCAAACUGGACCAGUCAUUGCUCUAAUCGUUGGGACCCUGGUUAAAAACUAUGAAGGACGCAGGGGGGUUAGUGGUAGCGCAGCAUGCCGAUGGUACAUUAAUGAUGAUAUAUCUGACAUCACCCAAUUUCACGAAAGCCUCCAAGGAAAGUUCUCUCUUGUAAAGAAAAUUAUUCUUCCUGGUCAAACCGCAGAUGAGAAAAGUGCAUAGGUCAAUCUACAAACUAAAACAGUUGGUCAACUUCUCGACUUGAACAUAUAUGAGAAUAAGAGCACGCGUUUCUUCUGCUCGGUCACUUUGUACAGGCUCAGUCCUGGUCAGUGUUGGUGGUUCAUGUCUUGUGAGAAGUGCCAUAAAACAGCACAGCGACAUGGCCCUGUCUACAGGUGCAUUGACCCCACAUGUGCCUCCACCGACGCAAUGCCAAGAUAUCGCAUAUGCUUUAGAUGCACUAGCGAUUCAAGGGAGGCCGAGUUUAUUUUCUUCGACAGGGUUGGAAAAGAGAUUGUUGCCAAAUCUUUGAUCACUUUGCUGCAUGAAGGGUAUUCCAGUCGUACAACUCUUGAUGAGAUUGUUGAAAUAGCACGUGGAGACCCAGCCAUCCCUAAAUACAUAUCCACUUUGAUUGGCAAGAAGUAUAUAUUUGUGGUGUCUAUCUCUUCAAAGAGCUUUAUGCCUGAUGCCGAGGAGACAUCCUUCCAAGUUAUCAAGAUAGAUGUGCCUGUGGAAAAGACCUCGAGCUCUGCAGUUUUAUAUCGCAAGGCAGAUUCCUCUGGACCUUCUACUGGUGAUGUGGGGUGUCCUGGUUCUGGUGAUGUAUCACCCUUAGUGUUACCCGUUGGAAGCUUCUCUACCGAUACUGGUGCUUUUUCUCUUCCUGCAUUACCUGCUGGAUCUGUCUCGGUCCUGCCCAUCUCCGGUGAUCAGUCUGCAAAGGUUGUUGUUGCUCUUGGCUCUCAAUCGACCCUUGCUUCUCCGCCGUCUGUCAGUAAAAGUGGCUUGAAGAAAGGCCUUUCUAAAACCAAACUAACGAAUGCUGAUGUUCGCAAGCCUUUGUUCCCAGUUGACAAAUCUAAGGAAAAUGCAACGCUGGGCGAUGGUCCUGCUGUCCUAGGUGAAGAGGUGGACGGUACUACAAGCGAGGUGCCAUUGGCUGUUGAGGGCACCACCAUUCAAAAAACUAAAAAGGCAAGGAGGGCCUGAGACCGAAGAGGUCAGGUGUUGUUGAGUGCUCGCCCUUUUGGACCUUAUCCUUUUGUUUGUGGAUGCGUGAAGAAAUGAUGAAAAUGCUUGAUGAAUCAGCCACAAGAGGAGGAUGAAGCGCUUUUGGUUUAUCGUUGGGCUUUCUAAGUUGGUGCAAAUUUGCAUUGCCCUUAUUGUACAUUAUGUCUGCUCUACCUCGACCAUAUCAGGCAGCGAAUGUGUCUACAUUUGACUGAUACCCCUUGCCUAUUGUAGUCUAAGUAUGUGUGUAUCCUACCUCUAUGCUAUCAGACAGGACAUGUCUGUAUAAGACUUGAGAUCAACUAUUAGUGUAUGCUAAGCCAUCUGCUACCAACUGAACUAAAGAACCGUCGAUGUAAUAUCAUCAUGUGUGUACUUAAACAUGAUCGAUCAUGCACAUGUGACC